UGGCGGCCGUAGCGCGGUGGUCCCACCUGACCCCAUGCCGAACUCAGAAGUGAAACGCCGUAGCGCCGAUGGUAGUGUGGGGUCUCCCCAUGCGAGAGUAGGGA
rnacentral:rRNA from 2 species